AGUGCGGACGGGUGAGUAACACGUAGGUAACCUGCCCCGGAGCGGGGGAUAACAUUUGGAAACAGAUGCUAAUACCGCAUAACAACAAAAGCCACAUGGCUUUUGUUUGAAAGAUGGCUUUAGCUAUCACUCUGGGAUGGACCUGCGGUGCAUUAGCUAGUUGGUAAGGUAACGGCUUACCAAGGCGAUGAUGCAUAGCCGAGUUGAGAGACUGAUCGGCCACAAUGGAACUGAGACACGGUCCAUACUCCUACGGGAGGCAGCAGUAGGGAAUCUUCCACAAUGGGCGCAAGCCUGAUGGAGCAACACCGCGUGAGUGAAGAAGGGUUUCGGCUCGUAAAGCUCUGUUGUUGGAGAAGAACGUGCGUGAGAGUAACUGUUCACGCAGUGACGGUAUCCAACCAGAAAGUCACGGCUAACUACGUGCCAGCAGCCGCGGUAAUACGUAGGUGGCAAGCGUUAUCCGGAUUUAUUGGGCGUAAAGCGAGCGCAGGCGGUUGCUUAGGUCUGAUGUGAAAGCCUUCGGCUUAACCGAAGAAGUGCAUCGGAAACCGGGCAACUUGAGUGCAGAAGAGGACAGUGGAACUCCAUGUGUAGCGGUGGAAUGCGUAGAUAUAUGGAAGAACACCAGUGGCGAAGGCGGCUGUCUGGUCUGCAACUGACGCUGAGGCUCGAAAGCAUGGGUAGCGAACAGGAUUAGAUACCCUGGUA
rnacentral:rRNA from 1 species